AUGAACGCUGGCGGCGUGCCUAAUACCUGCCAGUCGAGCGAACAGACGAGGAGCUUGCUCCUCUGACGUUAGCGGCGGACGGGUGAGUAACACGUGGAUAACCUACCUAUAAGACUGGGAUAACUUCGGGAAACCGGAGCUAAUACCGGAUAAUAUAUUGAACCGCAUGGUUCAAUAGUGAAAGACGGUUUUGCUGUCACUUAUAGAUGGAUCCGCGCCGCAUUAGCUAGUUGGUAAGGUAACGGCUUACCAAGGCAACGAUGCGUAGCCGACCUGAGAGGGUGAUCGGCCACACUGGAACUGAGACACGGUCCAGACUCCUACGGGAGGCAGCAGUAGGGAAUCUUCCGCAAUGGGCGAAAGCCUGACGGGGCAACGCCGCGUGAGUGAUGAAGGUCUUCGGAUCGUAAAACUCUGUUAUUAGGGAAGAACAAAUGUGUAAGUAACUAUGCACGUCUUGACGGUACCUAAUCAGAAAGCCACGGCUAACUACGUG
rnacentral:rRNA from 1 species